UGCUCGACUGGGAUUCGAACCCAGGACUCUUGUAUGCUCGAAGAGCACUUUACCAACAAAGCUACCCCGAGC
rnacentral:tRNA from 1 species